AGGCCGUUCCAAGAUGCUGUCAAAAUUAAAACAAUAUGGCUACUGGAAUGCAAACAUUGAAUAUUAUUCUAUCAGGUUCUUAUGGUUUUAGAUCAUUUUAGUUGUUGUACAAAGAUUAAUUUAACAUUUUCUCUGGAAGUAUUAAUUUAGAAAGAUAAUAUGCCUCAUUGGUGUUGUGUUUUGAAGUGUGAAAUGCAAAGUAAUCGUGAUAAAGUUAGCUUUUACCACUUACCAUCAGUGCUACAUUCUAAGCACAAAACUGAACCAAUUUAACUAAAUAAGUUAUAGUUAUCAUCUGAGAGACAACAACAAUGGUAAAAUGCAAUAAAAUAUAAAGAUUUUACUAGCAAAAUGGAAAUUCCCCUGUAAUCAUCUUAUAUCUGGUAAGUUACAACAUUUGAACAUUAACGAUUUUUGAAGAUGUUAACAGUCUAAUCUUGUAGGAAAACCAGCCGACUUAACUGAUAAUAACAAUCCAGAUUGGGUUCCUUCAAUAAAUAUGGGGUAUAUAAACACAGUGAAAUGAGUUCCCCAAAAUCUAAAAUGGGAAUUAAGGUACCAAAGGAGAAUUAAAAGAAAAGGGUACCUACAAAAAAAAAUUGCUUUUUUUAUUCCUCUUGAAAUGAUUUAUAAGACACUGGACUGUCUUAUAUUCUACAAAUACUAGAAUCAGCUGAGAGAAGUGGUCUACAAAAACCCAGGAAGGAAACGGAAUAUGUGGCUUCGAAAGGCAAAAGAAAGGUUUACAAAGCAAAUGUGACACAUUUUUUUGAAAUAUUUAGGAAUAUCAGUAAAUUGCAUUAAAAAAAUGUAUGAAAAGAUUUUGUUCAAUAAAAAUGUUUAUAUU